CCAUGUCCGUCGUCAGUGUUGUAUCUGAAGCCUCCUGUUUAGUCAGGCAACGGAGUGAGACCCACGCCCAACAGUUGCUAGCAUGUUCUCCGGAAUGAUGAGGACACUGUUGGGACCGCCUCUGGUAAAGAGGAGGAAGGAAUGGGCAACGGUAGGUCAGCAUGCCCCGAAUUAUCCGGGCUACACGCGGGCUACAAUGGUCAGGACAAUGGGAAACGGCACUGAAAAGUGUAGUCAAUCUCCUAAACCUGUCCCAAGUUCGGAUUGUGGGCUGCAACUCGCCCACAUGAAGCUGGAAUCCGUAGUAAUCGCGUUUCAAAAUAGCGCGGUGAAUAAGUCCCUGCUCCUUGCACACACCGCCCGUCAAACCAUCUUAGUGAGGUUUGGAUGAGGCUGUGGUUAACUGCCACAGUCGAAUCUAGGUUUCGCAAGGAGGGUUAAGUCGUAACAAGGUAGCCG
rnacentral:rRNA from 1 species